rnacentral:rRNA from 1 species
CAGGACGACGCUGGCGGCGUGCCUAACACAUGCAAGUCGAACGGGGAUUUGUUUCGGCAGAAUCCUAGUGGCGAACGGGUGAGUAACGCGUAGGCAACCUGGCCCUCCGGCCGGGGACAACACUCCGAAAGGGGUGCUAAUACCGGAUACGAAGUCUGUGCCGCAUGGUACGGAUUUGAAAGAUGGCCUCUAUUUAUAAGCUAUCGCCGGGGGAUGGGCCUGCGUCCGAUUAGCUGGUUGGUGGGGUAACGGCCUACCAAGGCGACGAUCGGUAGCCGGUCUGAGAGGAUGAACGGCCACAUUGGGACUGAGACACGGCCCAGACUCCUACGGGAGGCAGCAGUGGGGAAUCUUCCGCAAUGGGCGCAAGCCUGACGGAGCAACGCCGCGUGAGUGAGGAAGUUCUUCGGAACGUAAAGCUCUGUUGUUCCUGACGAACCUCCCUUCUAUCAACAACGGAGGGGACUGACGGUAGGGAACGAGGAAGCCACGGCUAACUACGUGCCAGCCGCCGC